AGAGGCUUCAAUUUUAUGAUAAAUCAUUGUAUUUAAUUAGAAAAACCUAGUUGUUCUUCUAUUCAAGGAGCUACUUCUUCUUAAAGUUUCUCCUUUUUUUACUUUAUUUAUGCUUGAGUGUGUGAAUUGCACAUUGCACAAAACCAACAACAAGGACAUGUGUUUAUGCUUAGCUUGUGUCCCCAUUAAAGCUAUGAACAAUGUUUACAACUAAUGUAGCUAAUGGUCCUCUUCAACUUUUAGCUCUUUGUCCUCCCUCAUGUAUUGUAGGUGAGCUUCCAUCACAUGAAUUGGAAGGCACUUGUUCUACAUUUAUGAUCACUAACAUAUAUCUCCAAGAAAGAUCCCAAAACCCAAAUGGGACAAAAGCAUUAUGUUUCUUGCCAAAUAGACUCAUGUUGUAUAUGAAUGGCAUGGCAAUAUAAUAUUUGUUGGUGGACAAAUUGGAUCGGAUCCUUUUAUUGUUAAGGCAUAGGAGCACUUUUUUUGGCAGGAGAUUGAGAGGGUAAGUCUCAAACUUUAAUUUAUUAUGCGAAUGAUAUGCGUUCAAUUAUUGAAUCAAACUAGGUUAGAUGACAUAUAAGCACUCUUUAAUUGUUGAUAUAUUUUAUUAUUUUGAGAAAAAGAAUAUGAAUGCUAUGGGCAUUUUGCCUUUUGGGUUUAUUCAACCAUUGGGAAUUUUGUUUUCUAUAGCAAAUUCCAACUCAUGCCCAUUGAUUGAUGUUAAGAGAUAACAAAAUAAUUGCCUUUAUUGUCCCCCUUUGUGGGUGGUAUAUGUGAUAGGGAUUUCAACUUUCCAUGCAUACAUACUUUAGACUUAGUUUUAAUUCAUCGUUGAAUGUGCAUAUAUAAUUCUUAGCAUGGGGUGACAAUGCUAUUUCAUGGAAUAUCUAAUCCUUUCGCUUGUAGGUUAGGUUGGCUUUCUUAUGGUCUAUUCUUUUCUUAUUAUAUUUGUUUGUUAAGAGUUAUACAUUGUACAAGUAGGGGUGAAAAUUAUUUAGUUCAAAUUGAACAAAUCGAAUCAAACUGCCUUAAUUCGAUAAUUCGGUUUGAUUUUUAAGAUAAUUCAGUUCAGUUCAGUUUUAUAUUAUAAAAAUUUCAGU
rnacentral:misc_RNA from 1 species